UCUCAUGUUCCAGUACAGCAUGUGAUCUCUGUAGCUGCAUGUUGGUGCAAAAAAAGUGGGGGGAGGGGUUGUUUCUCCAUGCUUACCACCAUUUUAAGUCGCCCAUGAGAACAUAGGAAACAGCCAUCGAGUGCUCAAUCAGCGGGGUGACUUUCGGGUGAAUUGUACCACCAACCUCAAUUCAGGACUGACCGACAGUGAGGCGUGCCUCAGUAGAGCCGAGAUCUUCUGUGCUGAACAAGGUGUGGUGAACCCUUUGAAAAACCUGUUCCCGCCCUCGCCUGUGGUGGCGCUGCACCGAGAACCACUGAAUGAAACAACUUGAAAAGCUCUGAAGAAGACACUGAGCGCAACAUCCUUCUUUAUGAAAUGUAAACAAAAUGGAAAGGCGUCAGCUUAGUGGUUCUAGGAUUUCUUUUUUGUCUUUGGUAAAAGACAAUGAGCCGUUUCUCCUGCUAGGGCUAAACACACAUUUGUUGUGCUUGUAUUUACCCAGAAUGCCCUGCACUAUAGUUUCACUUCCUGUUUUUGAAGGGACCUCCGAUCCACUAGCAUUUACAUAUGCAUUCAAACCGCAACAUAGUUCACUUCAACCAAACCGAGAUCUAGAUUUUUAAGCGAACCAGAGUUCACUUUUUUGGUCUGUAUCAAAGUUCAAUUACACAUUCACAAAUGAAUGAACUUCAAUUCAAUGAACUAGAGUUCAGUUAAAAUUGACUCAACAGGGCUGCAAACACAAAGUACAAUCCUAUCCGCACUCAACUUAAACCUCAACAUAAUACAUUCCAUCAAGUGUACACAUUCAUAUUCAUUCAAUUUGAUCCAAACCCAGCAGUUCUGAAUCUCCUUUCUGCACAGGUUUUACUGUAGCAGGUCUAAUUUAAUAUCUAGUGAGCUCAGCCAGAGUGGAUUGGAGCUUUUCUGCCUCCAUGCUCACUUCUUCCCCCUGACCAUUUGCACCUGGAAUUUGUCCUGCCAGUCAUCAGCUGCUUGGCUUUGUGUACUCAGUGCCUGCAAUCUACUCAGACCUGCUGUUGGAGGACUGCCUUGGCAGAACCCUUUUUCUGGAACAUUAGAUCUGUUUGACCAAAUCACAAUCUGCCUGCACUGCUUCUCGAACGUUAGAUGGUAGUUUAAAGUGGAAUUAUGAAGGUAAAAUAAUAUUGAUUUCUGUUUUGGGGAAGCAUUUCAAUUACAGAAAGAUAUUUAUUGUAUUGUUUUUGUAUUUACAUCCAAGACGAAGAGGAGUAGUUAAUAUCCUACUGCCUCAUGCUGUAUUUUACAUAUUUAAGUCUCCAUGUAUUUAAUCAUAUCCAGCUCUCUCCAUUAUCAUGCUUCCUGCUGCCAACUCUUGUUGUUGCCCCGGGGAAGCAUUGCUUCUCACCUGUCAGAAUGAAGUUUUGAGAAAAGGUUGUGAUUCAGCUGGAUUCACAUGUUCGCUCCCCGUGUGAAGGACAUGCUUUUUCCGGGUGACUGAAAAACAUCUAAACUUGGGGUCAGAUGAGGAAAGCAGCCAUUUCAAUUUUCUGUUGAUCAGUGCCAAAAAUGAGUCUUAUAAGAAGUCUACAACAGAGCUACGUUUGAACUUUUGUAGUUCUAAUUUUUCCUAUAUUAUUGUGGAAAGUCCAGUUACAACAAAAACAUAAAAUUUAUUCUUUACUCCUGAAAUUUUCUUUUUUAAAAUUUAUAAAUUGUCUGUUUGAUCAACCAAACUAGAACUUGCGAGGCAAGAUUUCAUUUACAAAGAGGACAAAUCUAUCCAAACUACGCUGUUGUAGAAGUAAUGUACCAGCCUUCACAUUAAUAACUACCAUCAUGUGUUUUCUGUGCUUGGUUAUAAGUAUUUUAUCUUUACUGUGGAAGAUUCUUGGUUCAAUCUUCUUUUGACAAUUUUUUGAAUUCAUUCCCAUUGGAGGAUUUUUUAAACAUGAUCAAGCUCCUUAACAUCACAGCAGAGCAUCAGUUCAGACUUUGACUAGGCCACUUCAAUAUCUUACCUAAGCGACAGUACGUACAGAUUAGUUCAUCAUAAAUAAAUAACUCUAACUUUUUUAUCAACCUAAACACCAAUACUUGUUUUUGUACGUCUAAAACAAAUAAAGUGCUAUAAGUUGUGCUCCUAUAGGGUUCAGUUUCAAUCCUGGGUGACAAACAAGCAUCUGUAUAUACUGUAAGGUAGUCCAGAAGAACAAACAUUGUGUGAAGUUUGACUCUUACGUGUCCUUCCUCCCACACCGCCCUCUCUAAAUCCAUAAACAUAUAAACAUUCUCAACGUCCUGGUGGAUUUAAGCUGCUAUUCUUUUCUAUCAGGCUCCUUUAAGACUUUUCAUCCCUGCAGCCUAAUUUUGUUUGGCCGCUGAUCUAUCAGAUCUAUGCCAGAUGUCAGAACCUACUUAACCCAGAGACCUAAGAGCUACUCCAAUCAUUGAUUUGUUUAAAAUCAAUGCCACAGGAAAACUUCAUCCACUAAAAUCCAAUCCAAACAUGGGGGAGCUGUUCCUGAAAAACUGGUUUGAUUGUCAUUUGACUGAUGGCUUUAAAAGGUGGGAGACAUAAAACUCUAUAAAGAGUUUUAUAGAGUUUUAUACUCUAUAAAGAGUUUUAUGAUGAGUUGCCCAGGUAGAUUAUUCAAUACAAAGAAAGAAGGAUACUGAGGGGAAAUGCCGCACCCCAGCUCUGAAACAGCUGCUGUCUGUUUGCAACCUUAAAGUGCUACAGUGUGGAGGAGGACAGAUUGUACCGACAGGUGCUUCUCAGCAGUUCUCUGUUUCUAAAUGGAAACCCACGCCAACCCCCACCUGCAGCUUUAUUCCUGAUAUGGCCCAGACCUUCUAUUAUCUCAGCAUUAAAUUAGUCUUCUCUGUCAGACUCUGUUCACAACUUUUUCUUGUAGACAGAAACCACAACUGAAACUGAUCUGUGUGUUUCCAGACUCAUUUUCUAUAUAACUUCAAUCAUUUGUGAUAAAGCUAGUGAUGAAAAUAUUUUAAUUUGUUUUAUAGACCAGCUUGUUUGCACUCACCUUUUCAGAUCUGAGCACAAAUUCUAUAGGAAUGAGAUUAAAGCUUUUUAUGAUGCCUUCUGUGUAUAAAUGUAUCCCCCCUUAGAUGUUUUACCCUUUUUCUGGUUUUUACAAAUUAAUUAUGAUCAACAUAAUUCAGCUUUUUUGACAAAAAAAUUACCAAUAACUUUAAUUUCAAUGUUAAAACAUGAGUGUGUCUCAAUGUCUGUAGCAGCAGGCCCCUGAAGGUUUGUAAAGGUAAAAGUUAAAAUGAAUGCAGCAAAAUCCUAGAGGACAAUUCAUUUCCAUCUGUAAGAGAACAUUGACUUUAUACAACAUUUAAUUUACAGAAAGAAAACAACCCGAAGCUUUCAGCUAAUGUUACACAGCUCUAGAGUGGCCCAGUCAAAGUUCAGAUUUCAAUCUGUUAGGGAAUCUGUUAAAGGGAUUGAAAAGGGUUGUUCACAGAUGAUCCACAUGCAACCUGGCAGAGCUGGAACAGUUAAGAAGAAUAUAGGAAAAUGAUACCAUCCAGCUGAGCAGCCUGACUGAGACAGAUCUGUACAGACAUCUACAGAUCUGUAGAUGCAUCUUGAACAUUUUUAGAAAUGCUUAGGUAAAAUAUACAAAUUUGGAAUACUUUCUAUAGGCAAUGUAAUUGCUUGAAUUCAUUUUGGAUUUCAAACUUUAAAGAGAUUUGUGUCCUUGUUUUAAUAUAUUUUUCUGACAAUAUUAAAAAUAUAAGAUGUUUUACUUAUUGCAAAUAGUUGUUAAGUAUUAAUACAGCUUUGCAUAGUCAUUGUUUUACCUUGGAUGAUUACAUGAGAAGUCAAUAUCGCUCUGACAGACACAGAAUCAAGUAGAUCUAAUUAAAAUAAAUCCCCGAAUGCUUAUCUGA